ACAUAUUUACCCAACAAUAUUUGUUUGAUUUUCUUCAAGAGUUUCAAAAACAUGAAACUCUGUUGUCAACACUGUUUUCAAUCAAAAUCUUCGGUGAAUAUUUUAUGCUAGAGUUCCUUUCGGCAAAUUUUCUCAACUCCGGAUUUGAGAUAUAUUUGUAAUUUGUUAGUCUAUUUUUUACAAAAAGGAAUGAAAUUGGAACUUCAUUCCAGAACUUCAUGUUUUGGAUAUCAUUGAAGGCAAAUGUGAUAGCACACAAAGAAAAUUCAAAAAUCUGCAUCGAGUUUGGUGAAGUGAAAGAACAACCACAAGAUAAUACUAGAGAAGAACACUAAUUAAGCCAAGCAGUAAAGACACAUAUAUUGUACCGAAACUUAUUUCAUAUCGUUAUCAUGGUAUAUCGAGCUCCAAUGGAUCCUUGCAUCUUCAAACUAUUUCUGUAAUUGUUGAAGUUCAAAAAUCUAAGAAGAAACUUUGAAAGGGAGCAAACAAUACGGGCGUUUACAACCUUGAGGACAAGGUUGCUUAUAUGGGCGAUGGAAUGUUAUGUGCCAAUUAUGUGUGUGCUUGAAUAAAAAAUUUGUAGUUAUCUUGUAGUUAUUUAAACAGUUUUUUUCUAGGAUGCUAUAUAUUGUGUUAUGUAAUAAUAAAAAAUUAUGAAUUGAAUUAUGAAAAUGUUGGAGUUCUUCUCUGAUUAGGAGUUAUGGAAGGUCUGGUGUCCCUCGAAUGAUACCGGAGGUAGGUAUUGGUGUCCCUCUAAUGGGACCACAACGAUCGUUUCUUGUCAUAAUCAUUUUCACAUUUGUAGGCAAAAUCAAGAAAAGUUAUGCAAGUACAUAACACAUUUCUCUAGGAAAAUCACAGUCCGAGGUUUUGAAAUAUUCUUAUUGUCAAUUUCAUUUGGAUUCAGGUACGAUUCGACUUGUUUCCUCUACUGUUAGGAUUAGUUUCAGGUGCGAUACGAUUUGAUUCGACAUUCUGAUUCUAGGGUUUCCUUUUUAAUUUCCUUGAUUUGAAUUCAGUUAUGCCUGGAUCUAAAACUUUUACUCGCAUGUUUGAUUCUGAUUUAGGUUGGUUAGAUUUUUAAUUUUAGUUGGUAGAUUGGUUAGUUCAUACAUAUUGAUUUGAUCUUUGGAGAUAAACUAUUGUGACAUUUUGAGUUAGUUUGAUAAUUCUUUGAUUUGAAAUGUUGAUUGGUGGUUAUCUCAAUCAAUACUCAUCUGUUGAGCAGAAAUGGAACUCAAAUUCCUCAAUAAUUCUGUUGUCCUGCUAAUAUCACCUGUUGAUGAUGGAUUUUACAGCUUUUGAAUAUCCAAUACUCUUAGAUAUGAUUAAACAAUAUACACGGAAUUAUAAUUUACUUGAAAUUUCGAUUACAUAGCCAAUGAUUUCCAUUUCUAAAGAGCAGACAAAGUUAGUUUGAUAUUUGUUAGAUUGAUGAUUAUGAACAAUGUAAUUGCCAGUUCUAUUGGUCUGUGAACAUGGAAAGCUGAUUAUUGAGAUACGUGUGUGCAUUAUAUUUGACACUCUGAUUGUUGUGUAUAUCAUUCUACGCAACCAUGACCAAUUUCCAAUUUAACUUUCCCAGUUCGCUUUGUUUCCUUUGUGGUACUCUGCAUGCUUUGCUCUUGUGAAUUAAUGUGUCCAUAGUAUGAUAAAGCAAUGAUCCACCGUAUUUUUAGAAGUAGGAAGAUAAACUGUAAUUAGAUUCCUGCUUUAGAAAUGCUUGGUGUCUCUUCUGCUUACAUAUGCUUCACCUGUAACCCCUUUUCCACUUAUUAUGUUAAUCCCUCCCAUCUGUUUUGCACUAAAAACCUUUCAUGUUAUUCAGCUUUCUGGUACAAGUCUUUGGCUUCUAAUGUUUUUGAAUUACUGUAUCUUUGUAGGAGUAUAUUGUGGUUCUUGUCAUGGAAAGCAUCAGCAUCAAGACAGGGAUGAUUUGGAGGCGUUUCUUGGCAAAAAGAGUAGUGAAUCUGUUUCCUGGUAUUACAUUGUUCCUCGAGUUUUUUUCAACAAUCAAUUAAUUUUACAUAUGAUGGUUUGAUGCAUUUUUGUUCUUUGUUAUUGAUUUGAUGUAGUUGUUGUCUGUUUCUGGUCAGACUAAUUUGGGCUACUGAAAUCGACAAUUAUAUUUGACAUAGUAUGCUGUCUUGAUGCAUGUCACUGCUUGGCGUUAGCUAGUUUGGAUUGUUUGCCAUGUUUGCUCAGGACUGACUGUUCUACAGCAUCUUCACUUUUGUUUCUCCUUUUUUCUUCCACGCUUUUGUGCUUUAUCUUUUUGGGUUUUGUGGUUUCCUAGCUGCAAACUUAUACACCAAGAGUGUGUUUGGAGAAGGAUGCAUUAGUGAAUAUCGAGAAGCAGAUCGAUGGGAAGCUAAGUGGUUGCAUUAGGGUAAGUAGCAACACUCAAGGGAUUUUCCUCAGUUUAGGGGAUAAAAUCACUCUUAAACAGAAAGGAGUAGCUGUCUGAUUGAUACCUGACAUCAACUUCUGGUUUAUUCGAUUUUGUUCCUGCUCCAUCUCUCCCUGAGUUAUAUCCCUCCGUCCUCACCAUAUUUCAUCGCCAUGAUAUGUGACUGUUACAGUCUGUUUGUAUUUCACAUGCUAGCACUUCAGUAAUCGGUGCUAGCACUGGAGUAAUCGGUGUACAUGAGGGUAUUUAUUUUGUUAUAUCAUGCCCCUUGUACUAUCUGAAGAGGUGCAGGACCUUUCAGCUGUUCUUCAGAUAUGUUUGCUUGCAAGAGGUAUCCUCCUGUUCCACAGUUGAGAGGAGUGUUAUUUGAGUCUGGAAUGAGAAACCAACAGUAUCACAUGAUAAGGUAGUCUACUAUUUACGACUGUCGACAAGUCAGCUUCCAAUAGAAAGUCAGUUUAUUAGCUCGUUGAAAGACAACUUAAACGCAGAGGUGGCACUGGGUACUGUUACCAACGUCAAGGAAGCUUGUGCCUGGCUGGGAUAUACAUAUCUUUUCAUAAGGAUGAAAUCAAAUCCAUCGGAGUAUGGGAUAGGAUGGGAUGAGGUCAUGGAAGAUCCUUCUUUGAUCUCAAAGCAAAGAUCUCUUGUAACAGACGCUGCUUGUUCCCUUGACAAAUCAAAAAUGAUGCGGCUUGAUAAGAAUAGUGGAAAUUUUUUACUGUACAGAACUUCGUCGCAUUGCAACUUUGCAAGCCACUUCAAGAAAAGUGGAAAUUAGGGAAGAGAGACCAAAUUUGUGCAUGGUAGUGCACCAUGAAGAUGCUGGAGCAAGGUAACUUAUAGUAGCUAGGGUAUCUAAUUUCUUUUUUACUUGUAAUAUUGCUAGAAGUCCUUUGCAGUCCUACGGUGAAAAGUACCGAUUGAGCACCUCGUCACCUGCACCUGUUACUUCUGGAGAUGAGAUAUAUGAAGUCCAUCAGCAUAAUGUUAGUUUUGUCGUUCUUGGAGUGGCAUAAUUAAGACGGAAUUAAACAUCAGAUUCUAGAAGAGCGAAGUUCCAGGAGAUAUGUAUCGGCUGAGGUUAAGCGUCGUGAUAUUAUGAAGCAUGUUUCUUCUAGCAAGUGUCUUCUGGAAAUUCAUUUGGUGGUAGAAGAACAUUAUCUGAAUUUGUGUUUAUUGUUGACUUCUCAUCUAACUUGAGCACCUGGUACUGUUGCACAGAUUGUCAAGAAUAGCCAUGGUGAGCUUUUCCCUCGACAUCAAUCUUCAGUAGAGAGAAAAUUGGGUUCUGCGAGUUCACAAUCUGCAGGUUCAGAGUGUCAAAUACCAUCUCUGGUCCUUAACCAUGCAUAUAUAGAAGGUCUACUGCAGAAGAAGGCGUGCGUAAUACUCUCCAUCGGUCUCGAGGUUGUGCUGCAAGUCUUCUUGGGCUUUUCAGUUUUAACUUUAUUAUCCAGAUUCUCAAGGUUUUAUAGCUCGAACCUGACUGAGAUAAUCAGAGUUAGACAUGAAAGGAAUAAUACGGUGGUCUGCCGAAUAUCUUGUCAGAACACUUGUUGCUUGCUGGUAUCUAGGAUUCGUAUCUGCUGUAUACUUAACUCAGUAGACUCAGCAAAAAUGUGUAGUUUAGCUUUUUUGUUCAAUGAUUUUUUAUUUUAUUUUUAAAGUUUUGUUCAAUGAUAUUAUUUGUCAUAUAUAUAUAUAUAUGUAUGUAUGUAAUUUUGGAUUU